UGGAAUAAAAAAAUGAUUUUGCAUAAAAAAAAUUUCUCUGGAACGCUGAUUCUUAAUUUUCAAAGAUGAAUAUUUUGACCUUGUUGCGACAUUCUGAAAUAUGGGAAAGUGAUUUUAUGUAUGAGCAUACAAAAGUGAUGGGGUAGUGGUUGGUGAAUAUAUUUCGUUCAUGAAUCUUAUUUCAGAAAUUGCGGCUGAGCUAGGUGUUGACGAAUCAAAAAAAACUAUAGAGAUUAGGUAUGUUGUUGAAGGGAAUUCGUCUCCAUUGUGUAUUAGGACUGAUAUGAGUGUAAAAUAUUAUAUAGAAAUUAAGAAACAUGAGGCUGGUUUCGGAACUUAUCCUUUAUGCAUUGAUACUUCACAUAAAUGUGUUGAAGAGAUAAUAAAUUUGAUGCAAUAACAGGUGUCAACAUGUGUGUUGAGGGUGAAAAAAGCGACGCAAAGGCUCUCAAUAUUGCUGAAUCAUCAAUUGAUGAUGCAUAUUACAUACCAGAAAUGGAUGUUGAUAAGUAUAUAUCAUACACCAAUAAUUCAGUUGUGGAAGAGAAUCAAAUGUAUAAGGAUAAGUCAACUCUGAAGGCGGUAAUGGAAAAUUACAAAAUAAAGAAUAGUUUCAACUUUAAAGUUAAAAGAUUUGAUAACAAAAGCUACGUAUUAAUUUGUCAUUCAGAUGAUUGUUGUUGAAAAUUGAAGGCAUCUGUUAGGAAGAAUUCAGAAACAUUCAUAGUGAGAUACUUUAAUAGUGAACAUACCUGUCCAUUAAGGGAUAAGGUAUUAAGCAAGGUACAAGCCACAGUUGGGUUUGUUGGUGGUGUGACAGCGCUUAAAUUAGGGAAUCAUAAAAGAAAACAUACUCCGAGCGAUAUAAUUGAUGAUAUCAGGGAAAUGUAUGGCGUUGAGAUUUCUUAUCAACAAGCAUGGCGUGAAAAAGAGCGUGAAUUGGAACUUAUAAGAGGUUGUUGCAUCUUCUGAGUUUAUUUAUUCAGUGUAUGAAAGUGGGAUUACAUACAUUGUUUGUCUUGAGAAAAAACUUGUUCAUGUGGAAGAUUUCAACUUGACGAGAUACCUUGUCCACAUUCAAUAGCCGUCUUGAAGAAGAAGAAUAUAACAGAUGUACACCCCUAUUGCUCUGAUUAUUAUAAACACGAUGCAUUAACAAAUACUUAUGCAAUUCUAAUAGAACCAAUGCCAGAAAAAAGAGAAUGGAAAGCUCCGGACUGUUUUGAAAGAAGUGGUCUUGCCACCUAGAUACAAAAAGAUGCCUGGGAGACCAAGAUAAAAGAGAGAAAAAUUCAGAUGAAAAGAUUACAACAAAAACGAAUUGUUGCGGACGUUGUGGUCAAGAAGGUCAUAAUAAAAGAACAUGUACCUUCUUUCCAAAAGAUUCUUGAUUUAUAUUUUUUUAGUAUCUUUGAUGCGUAAUAAUGUUUCUGGAUAUUUUAAUUUGAUAAUAAUUUGUGAACUUUUUUUA